GAUGAACGCUGGCGGCGUGCCUAAUACAUGCAAGUCGAGCGAACAGAUGAGGAGCUUGCUCCUCUGACGUUAGCGGCGGACGGGUGAGUAACACGUGGAUAACCUACCUAUAAGACUGGGAUAACUUCGGGAAACCGGAGCUAAUACCGGAUAAUAUAUUAAACCGCAUGGUUCAAUAGUGAAAGACGGUUUUGCUGUCACUUAUAGAUGGAUCCGCGUCGCAUUAGCUAGUUGGUAAGGUAACGGCUUACCAAGGCAACGAUGCGUAGCCGACCUGAGAGGGUGAUCGGCCACACUGGAACUGAGACACGGUCCAGACUCCUACGGGAGGCAGCAGUAGGGAAUCUUCGACAAUGGGCGAAAGCCUGACGGAGCAACGCCGCGUGAGUGAUGAAGGUCUUCGGAUCGUAAAACUCUGUUAUUAGGGAAGAACAAAUGUGUAAGUAACUAUGCACGUCUUGACGGCACCUAAUCAGAAAGCCACGGCUAACUACGUG
rnacentral:rRNA from 1 species